UUGAACGCUGGCGGCAGGCCUAACACAUGCAAGUCGAGCGGAUGAAGGGAGCUUGCUCCUGGAUUCAGCGGCGGACGGGUGAGUAAUGCCUAGGAAUCUGCCUGGUAGUGGGGGAUAACGUCCGGAAACGGGCGCUAAUACCGCAUACGUCCUGAGGGAGAAAGUGGGGGAUCUUCGGACCUCACGCUAUCAGAUGAGCCUAGGUCGGAUUAGCUAGUUGGUGGGGUAAAGGCCUACCAAGGCGACGAUCCGUAACUGGUCUGAGAGGAUGAUCAGUCACACUGGAACUGAGACACGGUCCAGACUCCUACGGGAAGCAGCAGUGGGGAAUAUUGGACAAUGGGCGAAAGCCUGAUCCAGCCAUGCCGCGUGUGUGAAGAAGGUCUUCGGAUUGUAAAGCACUUUAAGUUGGGAGGAAGGGCAGUAAGUUAAUACCUUGCUGUUUUGACGUUACCAACAGAAUAAGCACCGGCUAACUUCGUG
rnacentral:rRNA from 1 species